rnacentral:rRNA from 1 species
UACGUAGGGUGCAAGCGUUAAUCGGAAUUACUGGGCGUAAAGCGUGCGCAGGCGGUUGUGCAAGACCGAUGUGAAAUCCCCGGGCUCAACCUGGGAAUGGCAUUUGGGACUGCAAGGCUCGAGUGCGGCAGAGGAGACUGGAAUUCCUGGUGUAGCAGUGAAAUGCGUAGAUAUCAGGAGGAAUACCGAUGGCGAAGGCAGGUCUCUGGGCUGACACUGACGCUCAUGCACGAAAGCGUGGGGAGCAAACAGG